AACUCCAGAUUCUUAAAUAAUAUCUCGUAGUCACUCAGGGUCCACAGCAGACGACCUUCUUCAGCUUCUACAAUUAUCAAUUUCCGGCCCGCACCUGUAACAGGCUCGCCUCCCCCGUACGCCCUUGGUAAAAGCUUCGCGCUAUGGGUGUGAAAGCCUAGAGGUUCUAUUUCUCCUAUUUAACCCGGAGAACCGGAGGCUGGGGAGAGGAUGCCUGGGCCGUCGGCUCCCGCCUUCUUCCCCCGCAUCCUCCGUCAUGAUUCCACCUUUAAAGGGAUCGGAACGACGUUCCAGAAAGCAGCCAAAGCCUGUCGUGUAGCCACAACUUUCAGGACCAAGAUGAACCUAAAGUGGACAAUAAAAUGGAUGUUGGAAGUGUGAAAGCAGUGAACUUGAUGGAGGAGAAAAGAGGUCACAAAUUUAGUGUUUUUGACUUUGCCAGUACACUAAGAACUAAAGCUCAGAGAGGACGGGAACUGUUGUAUUCUGAGGGCCUGGGUCUGUAUUUGUCACUGUUAUGUGGAAUGAGUGAACAGAUGGAUGGACGCAGUACAGAAAAAAUAAGAAAACAGUCUUGGCCACUAAAAGAACAUUUACCCUGAAAAACUAAUCACCAUCAUUGUGAAGUACAUUAUUCCUGAUUUAAGAAUCUCCUUCUCGGGGCUUCCCUGGUGACGCAGUGGUUGAGAAUCUACCUGCCAAUAUAGGGGACACGGGUUCGAGCCCUGGUCUGGGAAGAUCCCACAUGCC